AAACCAACAGGGAUUGCCUUAGUAGCGGCGAGUGAAGCGGCAAAAGCUCAAAUUUGAAAUCUGGCGCCUUCGGUGUCCGAGUUGUAAUUUGAAGAUUGUAACCUUGGGGUUGGCUCUUGUCUAUGUUUCUUGGAACAGGACGUCACAGAGGGUGAGAAUCCCGUGCGAUGAGAUGCCCAAUUCUAUGUAAGGUGCUUUCGAAGAGUCGAGUUGUUUGGGAAUGCAGCUCUAAGUGGGUGGUAAAUUCCAUCUAAAGCUAAAUAUUGGCGAGAGACCGAUAGCGAACAAGUACAUUGAUGGAAAGAUGAAAAGAACUUUGAAAAGAGAGUGAAAAAGUCCGUGAAAUUGUUGAAAGGGAAGGGUUUGAGAUCAGACUCGAUAUUUUGUGAGCCUUGCCUUCGUGGCGGGGUGACCCGCAGCUUAUCGGGCCAGCAUCGGUUUGGGCGGUAGGAUAAUGGCGUAGGAAUGUGACUUUACUUCGGUGAAGUGUUAUAGCCUGCGUUGAUGCUGCCUGCCUAGACCGAGGACUGCGAUUUUAUCAAGGAUGCUGGCAUAAUGAUCCCAAACCGC
rnacentral:rRNA from 1 species